GACCACCGUUUGUACCCCUCGGCAGUAAAGUACGAGCCAAGCUUUAAACUUAAAAGACCUGGCGGUACUCUAAACCAACCUAGAGGGGCCUGUCUAGUAAUCGAUACUCCGCGAAAAACCCAACCUCUUCUGGCCAACUCAGCCUGUAUACCGCCGUCGAAAGCUCAUUUCUCAAGAAAUCGAAGCUAAAUAGUAUAAUCACUAAUACGUCAGGUCAAGGUGUAGCACAUGAGGAGGAUAAGAUUGGCCACAGUACAGCACUUAAUAAAACAACGAUGAAACGCGUAACUAAAAAGAAUUUAGCAGUAAGGGAACUAACGAAUGACUCCCUGAACCAACACACUGCCCUAGAGUGCGCACACACCGCCCGUCACCCUCUGACGUAAAAAACUCCGCUCGUCACUCUAUGACGUAAAUCCCCCCAGUUUACUACCAGAGACAUGAA
rnacentral:rRNA from 1 species